CCUACGGGAGGCUGCAGUGGGGGAUAUUGCACAAUGGGCGCAAGCCUGAUGCAGCCAUGCCGCGUGUGUGAAGAAGGCCUUCGGGUUGUAAAGCACUUUCAGCGGGGAGGAAGGCGGUGAGGUUAAUAACCUCAUCGAUUGACGUUACCCGCAGAAGAAGCACCGGCUAACUCCGUGCCAGCAGCCGCGGUAAUACGGAGGGUGCAAGCGUUAAUCGGAAUUACUGGGCGUAAAGCGCACGCAGGCGGUCUGUCAAGUCGGAUGUGAAAUCCCCGGGCUCAACCUGGGAACUGCAUUCGAAACUGGCAGGCUAGAGUCUUGUAGAGGGGGGUAGAAUUCCAGGUGUAGCGGUGAAAUGCGUAGAGAUCUGGAGGAAUACCGGUGGCGAAGGCGGCCCCCUGGACAAAGACUGACGCUCAGGUGCGAAAGCGUGGGGAGCAAACAGGAUUAGAUACCCUUGUAGUC
rnacentral:rRNA from 1 species